GAUACAAAUCGCUGGGUGCUUCAGAGAAGACAAAAGACCUGGCUACUCUUUUGUUUCACCUGGGUGUGGGGUCAGUUCGCUCUCGGCGUCCGGAGAGAGAAGCUGCAGAGAAAGGAGCUGCUGGUUCUUUUCUUUCGGCCGUUUUUUUCUUUCUGCUGGAAACAACGCUGGGAUCCCAAAGCCGCUUUCCCUGCCCUGCUGGAGGCUGGGCUGCGGCCGCCCUGCCCCGCUGCUGCUUCGAGCCUUCGCUACGCUGUAGCUGUGCUCGAACUGCCUGCCCGACCUCCGGCGGGGUUCCCCGUUUGGAUACAUCUCGUCUGUCCUCCGGGAUUUGUGCUCGUCCCUGCUGUUCCAGCCUGCCAUCCCAGCCUGCUGUUCCCGAGGGUCCGGCCGGACACCGGGAUCGGCUGCCCAGCGGUUUGUGAAGCCUUUGUUCCAUCCCUUCCCGGGAUCCCAACCAUCGCACCUGCCCUGCUCACCGGGAGCCGCCAGCGCCCCUGCCGGCUGCGAGCGGAACUGCACCCGAGGGGAAAGGGCCCGACAGCCGAGAAGGCUGGGACUGGGUUUGUGAUUGUUUGCUGUUGCUGCCAUAGUUAUUGCUGUUUUGUUUGACUGGUUAUAUAUAUAAUAGUAAAGAACUGUUAUUCGUCUUUCCCACAUCUUUGCCUAAAAGCCCCCUUGAUUUCAAAAUAAUAAUAACUCGGAGGGAAAGUGGUUACAUCUGCCAUUCCAAGGGAGGCUUCUGCCUUCCUUACCAGACACCUGUCUUUCAAACCAAGACAUAUAGGUAGUGUUUUCUUUAUCCCCCUUUUCUUUCGGCUUAAGGUUUCGUAUAGAGGGGCUCCUAACAGGCCACUUUCUGAUCUGGGGAGUGUAAAGAAAGAAGGUUGAAUCAUACCUAGAGUGCAUGAACCUUUCCAUUUACUGGGUAGUUCGCUGUAUGCCUUUUUGCCACAUAUCCAGUAUAUACCAUCAGGGGCUUUAUCCAGUAUAUACCAUCAGGGGCUUUCCAUUUUAUUCUCGUAUUUGCUGGUUCUCUCCACUAUUCUUUUAAGUCCUCUAAGGAUUGGUAAGGGUUAGCUCCAGAUUGCUUGUACCAACAAAGGUUGACUCGACUAUUCCAAUCACAAUUUGCUUUUCUUUCUUGACUCCAAUAUCCUGCAGGGGGUUCUGGUUGCCAGAUUUUACUUUUGUUAUUAGAAUAUAUUGCUAGGGUGGAUAUACACGGGGUGUAUCCCACAACCUCAGUAUAUUCAUUUCCUUUCCUGCUGAUGCAAAUUAUUCCUAUUACUUCUUGGUCUAGAAUCCAACCUUCAGGCCUCUGUGUAGUCUUUGAGAACUGAUUUUUAUCUCUUUUUAGAAGUUGUUCUGGAGCUAAGCCUUAACCCUUCCAAGGCCAUUUUUCUGCUGAUUUUAGCUCUCUACAUAUCCAACAGUUGGAUAAACCUAACUCAGUAGCAAUUUCUUGCAUUAGGUUUAUGAACAAAUUAGUGUUAGGGGUUGGCCAUUCCCAAUCAUUAUACUGCUUUUCUAGUAAGUCGUAUUGUUUGCUUACUGCCAAUAGUCUCUCUUGUUCUAUUCUCUUUUUUUAAUUUCUGAUUCUUGUUUCUUAAGGUCUAAUGCUACCUGUUUCAUAGUGUUUUCUGGAUCCAUGCCAUCCUUGUUCUUAGAAAAGCAAAUGGUGUUGGCAUAUUGCAAGCAUGCCCUGUCAUCAUUUUCCUCAAGGUCUAGUAUAACAGGUUCGUUGCUCAGGGUCAGUUUACCCUGAUAUUUUAAAUUUUGCCCCACUUAGUAGGUUUUUCCACUCAUAAUACACAUGCUUAAUGUAGAGGUAUCAUAGCACAGAUUGUUAACCUGAAAGUAGGCCACAAAAAUGGGUUUCAUUUUUCCUCUUAUCCCAACAGUCUGAUUACAUUGGUUGCAAGUUGGAAUAGGUUUUUGUGUGGCUUCUCUUUUAUAUCUAUUAAGGUGGUGUCUACUUUUAAUAGGAGGUGCCCUUGACUGCCUGUGUUUAGAGCUUGCAGCUUGGGGGUAGCACAAAAUUACCCCAUUUGUUUUACAUAUUUGGAA
rnacentral:lncRNA from 13 species